rnacentral:rRNA from 1 species
AGGCUAAACAUGCAGUUAAGCGCGCUUCGGGUGAGCCCGGGAUGUAUUAUAACGCGUGGGAACGUGCCCUUCUCUACGGAAUAGCCUCUGGAAACGGAGAGUAAUACCGUAUACGCCCUUUGGGGGAAAGAUUUAUCGGAGAAGGAUCGGCCCGCGUUAGAUUACGUAGUUGGUGGGGUAACGGCCUACCAAGCCUACGAUCUAUAGCUGGUUUUAGAGGAUGAUCAGCAACACUGGGACUGAGACACGGCCCAGACUCCUACGGGAGGCAGCAGUGGGGAAUCUUAGACAAUAGGGGCAACCCUGAUCUAGCCAUGCCGCG